rnacentral:rRNA from 3 species
AAAUUGAAGAGUUUGAUCAUGGCUCAGAUUGAACGCUGGCGGCAGGCCUAACACAUGCAAGUCGAACGGUAACAGAAAGCAGCUUGCUGCUUUGCUGACGAGUGGCGGACGGGUGAGUAAUGUCUGGGAAACUGCCCGAUGGAGGGGGAUAACUACUGGAAACGGUAGCUAAUACCGCAUAACGUCGCAAGACCAAAGAGGGGGACCUUCGGGCCUCUUGCCAUCGGAUGUGCCCAGAUGGGAUUAGCUAGUAGGUGGGGUAACGGCUCACCUAGGCGACGAUCCCUAGCUGGUCUGAGAGGAUGACCAGCCACACUGGAACUGAGACACGGUCCAGACUCCUACGGGAGGCAGCAGUGGGGAAUAUUGCACAAUGGGCGCAAGCCUGAUGCAGCCAUGCCGCGUGUAUGAAGAAGGCCUUCGGGUUGUAAAGUACUUUCAGCGGGGAGGAAGGGAGUAAAGUUAAUACCUUUGCUCAUUGACGUUACCCGCAGAAGAAGCACCGGCUAACUCCGUGCCAGCAGCCGCGGUAAUACGGAGGGUGCAAGCGUUAAUCGGAAUUACUGGGCGUAAAGCGCACGCAGGCGGUUUGUUAAGUCAGAUGUGAAAUCCCCGGGCUCAACCUGGGAACUGCAUCUGAUACUGGCAAGCUUGAGUCUCGUAGAGGGGGGUAGAAUUCCAGGUGUAGCGGUGAAAUGCGUAGAGAUCUGGAGGAAUACCGGUGGCGAAGGCGGCCCCCUGGACGAAGACUGACGCUCAGGUGCGAAAGCGUGGGGAGCAAACAGGAUUAGAUACCCUGGUAGUCCACGCCGUAAACGAUGUCGACUUGGAGGUUGUGCCCUUGAGGCGUGGCUUCCGGAGCUAACGCGUUAAGUCGACCGCCUGGGGAGUACGGCCGCAAGGUUAAAACUCAAAUGAAUUGACGGGGGCCCGCACAAGCGGUGGAGCAUGUGGUUUAAUUCGAUGCAACGCGAAGAACCUUACCUGGUCUUGACAUCCACGGAAGUUUUCAGAGAUGAGAAUGUGCCUUCGGGAACCGUGAGACAGGUGCUGCAUGGCUGUCGUCAGCUCGUGUUGUGAAAUGUUGGGUUAAGUCCCGCAACGAGCGCAACCCUUAUCCUUUGUUGCCAGCGGUCCGGCCGGGAACUCAAAGGAGACUGCCAGUGAUAAACUGGAGGAAGGUGGGGAUGACGUCAAGUCAUCAUGGCCCUUACGACCAGGGCUACACACGUGCUACAAUGGCGCAUACAAAGAGAAGCGACCUCGCGAGAGCAAGCGGACCUCAUAAAGUGCGUCGUAGUCCGGAUUGGAGUCUGCAACUCGACUCCAUGAAGUCGGAAUCGCUAGUAAUCGUGGAUCAGAAUGCCACGGUGAAUACGUUCCCGGGCCUUGUACACACCGCCCGUCACACCAUGGGAGUGGGUUGCAAAAGAAGUAGGUAGCUUAACCUUCGGGAGGGCGCUUACCACUUUGUGAUUCAUGACUGGGGUGAAGUCGUAACAAGGUAACCGUAGGGGAACCUGCGGUUGGAUCACCUCCUUACCUUAAAGAAGC